rnacentral:rRNA from 1 species
UGCCAGCCGCCGCGGUAAUACGGAGGGGGUUAGCGUUGUUCGGAAUUACUGGGCGUAAAGCGCUCGUAGGCGGAUUGGUCAGUCAGAGGUGAAAGCCCAGGGCUCAACCUUGGAAUUGCCUUUGAUACUGCCAGUCUUGAGUUCGGGAGAGGUGAGCGGAAUUCCCAGUGUAGAGGUGAAAUUCGUAGAUAUUGGGAAGAACACCAGUGGCGAAGGCGGCUAACUGGCUCGGUACUGACGCUGAGAUGCGAAAGCGUGGGGAGCAAACAGGAUUAGAUA